UCAGAAACUCUUACUAGUAUGAUGUGCAUCAAACUGGAGAAUAAGAAACGAUGAAAUGUCCUGUACAUGACUGAUUACAACUAAGCAAAACAACUCAAGUAACAAGCCACAGAGGACAAAAAAUUCACAAAUAUGUCAUGAUUACUUCAACAUCGACAUCAGUGAAAAACAUUUGACAUCUGGCCUAGAAAAUCAGACAGCAGACCACAGAGACUUUGAUUAAAAAACUUCAUGCAAUUUUCUGCAAUCAGUCACAGAAAGUUGCUGAAGCCAUUGCAAAUACAAUACCCCAUCUUCCUCUUCUGUCACAAGGACAAAGUCCCUG